UGCAGAUCUGCAUAGUGAGUGCGACUGCUGCGCGUAUCUGCUGAUUCAAAAACGGAUCUGGCACAGAUGUAAAUGCUGUCUGGGUAAGGGGGAGA